UAAACAAAAAAGGAUGGGGUAUUCUCAAUCAAUUUGAAACGUAUAAAUAACUAAGUUAAAAACUCAGCACAUAAUGGAACUAUUGGUUCCAUUCAGUUGCACUGUGGCAUUUCAGGAAAUAAGACAUGAACCUUGCGCCACAACUAUUUAUUUUGUCAUGGAUUUUUUCUUUAUUUCUUGAUUGCUACGCCAAAUGCCAACAUCCCACUAUUUCCCACAUCACUGGCGAUGGUUGUCGUCCGAAAGAAUCUUGCGCAGAUCCUUUGGAGUUUCCGAGUCUCACAUUUGAGUCUCCUGAUUGUAUCAAUGAUCUAUAUUGCUGCCAACAAGUCAAAUAAUACAAUAUAUUUUUAUAUAAAGAGAAACCUUUUAUUAAAAUAUUUAAGGUAGCCUUAAUUCCAAUUUUGGCACAUUUGCAAUGCA